UAACUGGAGAGUUUGAUUCUGGCUCAGAUUGAACGCUGGCGGCGUGCCUUACACAUGCAAGUCGAACGUGAAAGUACCUUCGGGUAUGAGUAAAGUGGCGCACGGGUGAGUAACGCGUGGAUAAUCUACCGGGAAGUUCGGAAUAACAGCUGGAAACGGUUGCUAAUACCGGAUACACUACAUAUAAACGUAUGUGGGAAAGACGGCCUCUGCAUAUGCUGUUGCUUUCCGAUGAGUCCGCGUACCAUUAGCUAGUUGGUGGGGUAAAGGCCUACCAAGGCGACGAUGGUUAACUGGUCUGAGAGGAUGAUCAGUCACACUGGAACUGGAACACGGUCCAGACUCCUACGGGAGGCAGCAGUGGGGAAUAUUGCGCAAUGGGCGAAAGCCUGACGCAGCGACGCCGCGUGAGGGAUGAAGGUCUUCGGAUCGUAAACCUCUGUCAGCAGGGAAGAACGGUCACUGUGCUAAUCAGCAGUGAAUUGACGGUACCUGCAAAGGAAGCACCGGCUAACUCCGUGCCAGCAGCCGCGGUAAUACGGAGGGUGCGAGCGUUAAUCGGAAUUACUGGGCGUAAAGCGCUCGUAGGCGGUAUGUCAAGUCAAGGGUGAAAUCCCCGCGCUCAACGUGGGAACUGCCUUUGAAACUGGCAAACUGGAGUGUGUGAGAGGAUAGUGGAAUUCCAGGUGUAGGAGUGAAAUCCGUAGAUAUCUGGAGGAACAUCAGUGGCGAAGGCGACUAUCUGGCACAUAACUGACGCUGAGGAGCGAAAGCGUGGGUAGCAAACAGGAUUAGAUACCCUGGUAGUCCACGCUGUAAACGAUGGAUACUAGGUGCAGGGGAGUAUUUUUCUGUGCCGUAGCUAACGCGUUAAGUAUCCCGCCUGGGGAGUACGGUCGCAAGGCUGAAACUCAAAGAAAUUGACGGGGGCCCGCACAAGCGGUGGAGUAUGUGGUUUAAUUCGAUGCAACGCGAAGAACCUUACCCAGGCUUGACAUCUAGGGAACCUAACAGAGAUGUUGGGGUGCUCUUCGGAGAACCCUAAGACAGGUGCUGCAUGGCUGUCGUCAGCUCGUGCCGUGAGGUGUUGGGUUAAGUCCCGCAACGAGCGCAACCCCUGUCCUUAGUUGCCAGCAGGUGAAGCUGGGCACUCUAGGGAGACCGCUUCGGUUAACGGAGAGGAAGGUGGGGACGACGUCAAGUCAUCAUGGCCCUUACGCCUGGGGCUACACACGUACUACAAUGGUGCAUACAAAGGGUUGCGAAACCGCGAGGUCAGGCUAAUCCCAAAAAAUGCAUCUCAGUUCGGAUUGGAGUCUGCAACUCGACUCCAUGAAGUCGGAAUCGCUAGUAAUUCCAGAUCAGCAUGCUGGGGUGAAUGCGUUCCCGGGCCUUGUACACACCGCCCGUCACACCACGAAAGUUGGUUUUACCCGAAGCCGAUGAGCUAACAGCAAUGAGGCAAUCGUCUACGGUAGGCCCGAUGAUUGGGGUGAAGUCGUAACAAGGUAGCCGUAGGGGAACCUGCGGCUGGAUCACCUCCUUU
rnacentral:rRNA from 1 species